CACCAGGCCCCAUUUGACCCCCGGCCUUUGCCCACACCGCUGUUGCUGCUGACUCCAAGGUCUUCUCAAAUAUUGUACGGCAGGAAACUGCAUAUCUUCUGGUUUACAUGAAGAUGGAGUGCUAAUGGAAAUGCCCAAAACCUUCAGAGAUUGACACGCUGUCAUUUUCCAUUUCCGUUCCUGGAUCUACGGAGUCUUCUAAGAGAUUUUGCAAUGAGGAGAAGCAUUGUUUUCAAACUAUAUAACUGAGCCUUAUUUAUAAUUAGGGAUAUUAUCAAAAUAUGUAACCAUGAGGCCCCUCAGGUCCUGAUCAGUCAGAAUGGAUGCUUUCACCAGCAGACCCGGCCAUGUGGCUGCUCGGUCCUGGGUGCUCGCU
rnacentral:lncRNA from 1 species